ACUAUUUUGGCAGAUAAGUGUGAUGGUUUUAGAAAUCAUUUAUAUAUAAUUUAAUUAUAUAAGUAGUA
rnacentral:tRNA from 1 species